GUUAACCUGUGUGUGGAUGACAUUCAGCACAAAGCACAGAUGUGUUUAUCUGUUUGUCGAUGGUGUUCAGCACCAAGGACAGGCAUGUUUAGUU
rnacentral:pre_miRNA from 1 species